CGGAAGAGAUAAGUGCUGAAAGCAUCUAAGCACGAAACUUGCCCCGAGAUGAGUUCUCCCUGACCCUUUAAGGGUCCUGAAGGAACGUUGAAGACGACGACGUUGAUAGGCCGGGUGUGUAAGCGCAGCGAUGCGUUGAGCUAACCGGUACUAAUGAACCGUGAGGCUUAACCUUACAACGCCGAAG
rnacentral:rRNA from 1 species